rnacentral:rRNA from 1 species
UAGGGAAUCUUCCACAAUGGACGCAAGUCUGAUGGAGCAACGCCGCGUGAGUGAAGAAGGUUUUCGGACCGUAAAGCUCUGUUGUUGGUGAAGAAGGAUAGAGGUAGUAACUGGCCUUUAUUUGACGGUAAUCAACCAGAAAGUCACGGCUAACUACGUGCCAGCAGCCGCGGUAAUCGUAGGUGGCAAGCGUUGUCCGGAUUUAUUGGGCGUAAAGCGAGCGCAGGCGGAAGAAUAAGUCUGAUGUGAAAGCCCUCGGCUUAACCGAGGAAUUGCAUCGGAAACUGUUUUUCUUGAGUGCAGAAGAGGAGAGUAG